GAAAGGUAGCACAGUAGGGGCAAAGCUGAGAUUAGACACUACAGGCAGCCAUGUGGUUUCGAUCUGGCCUGGUAUUUCAAGAUGCAGCCGAAUUCAUUGUCUCUGGCGCAUGUUCCGAAUAAAUCAUACUUACUCGUUGUGUA